rnacentral:rRNA from 1 species
UACGGAGGGUGCAAGCGUUAAUCGGAAUUACUGGGCGUAAAGCGCGCGCAGGCGGUUUGGUAAGUCAGAUGUGAAAUCCCCGGGCUCAACCUGGGAACUGCAUCUGAUACUGGAAAGCUUGAGUCUCGGAGGGGGGGGUGGAAUUCCAGGUGUAGCGGUGAAAUGCGUAGAGAUCUGGAGGAAUACCGGUGGCGAAGGCGGCCCCCUGGACGAAGACUGACGCUGAGGCGCGAAAGCGUGGGGAGCAAACAGG